AUACAGCCCCAUGGGCAGUGCAACCCUGCCUUGUUCUCCCGUCCCUCUCCCCUGAGGCCUCCCUCCAUCACAGGCCACCUGCAGUCCUGCUCCAGACCUUCUUGUUGGGGGCAGGCCCAGGCCUUGUCUUGCCCUGCUGCCCCAUGGUAGAGGCUGUGAUUUCAGUCAGAGAAGAAUCUUGGAUGACAUCCAGGAGAGUUGAAGAAGGAGAUGCAGAGACUGUCUGCCAGAGCCGAAAGAAGUGUCUUCUUUGACUCAGACACACCAUCCUGGGCAGUCCUGUGCCAGUGUCUCCCAUGUCUCCCUAUCGAUUCCCAAAGUUCUUCACAGAGACCUUGAGACAACAUGCAAACAAUUAUGGACAAACAAGAUACAGACAGGAUAAACAAGAGAAAUAAAUUGAGGGGGAAAAAAUGUGGUGCUGUGGACAGAGGGGCCUGAAGUCAGGAAGACUUGAGUUCAGUUGUGUCCUCAGACAAUGAGCAGCUGUGUGAUUCUGCGCAAGUCACUUAACUUCUGUCUGCCUCACUUCCCUCAUUUGUGAAACAAGGAUAAUGAUUGCAUAUAUGUAUAUGUACAUAUAUGUGUGUGUAUGUAUGUGUGUGUGUGAAUCCAGGGCAUCUAACGCCCUAAUUUUACGACGUUUGUCCCUUCACUUGAGUCAUGCGUGUUUGCUCUUUCCUUCUGGCUCUGUCUUGUUUUUACUUUGUAAUAUUUAAUAAAG